UACGAGGGGGGCGAGCGUUGUUCGGAAUUAUUGGGCGUAAAGGGUGCGUGGGCGGUUUGGUAAGUCUUAUGUGAAAUCUAUGGGCUCAACUCAUAGUCUGCAUGAGAAACUGCCGGGCUUGAGUAUGGGAGAGGUGAGUGGAAUUCCUGGUGUAGCGGUGAAAUGCGUAGAUAUCAGGAGGAACACCUGUGGCGAAAGCGGCUCACUGGACCAUAACUGACGCUGAUGCACGAAAGCUAGGGGAGCAAACAGG
rnacentral:rRNA from 1 species